CCUAUAUAUGCAUUUUAAUAAAGAUUGUUUAAAAAUUAUCCUAUAAAGGAAGAAGCUUGGAAAAGGGUUUAUUAUGGAACACGCUGAAUAUACAAAGCAGCCAUGAAUACGUAUUUAAAAUGCAAUGAAAAUCUAACAAUGGACUAUGUAAUGCCUUGGAUUGGAUUCAUUCUUUGGCCAAAUGAUGGUUGUGAAUUUAUUAUUUGUGUUAUGGUUGAGCCUAGAAGGACAAACUGAGAUCCGGGCCCUAUUCUGCGAGUUCACUUACAGCCAUCAGAGUCCACUUUGUCCUCUUCUCUGUAGUGUGAGUGUAUUUGGGUACUGCAGCAAGACAUUGCAAGGAUGAGAAACAAUGUCUUUAAUGCUGAAGAUUUCAUCCAUGACAAUUGGGAUUCCUUUUUCCAAUGACUGCAUUUUCACCUUCAAACCCCAAAGGUCAU